UACAGAGGUCUCAAGCGUUGUUCGGAAUCAUUGGGCGUAAAGGGUGCGUAGGUGGCAUGGUAAGUCGGAUGUGAAAUCCCGGGGCUCAACCCCGGAACUGCAUUCGAUACUGCUGCGCUAGAGUACUGGAGAGGAGAUUGGAAUUUACGGUGUAGCAGUGAAAUGCGUAGAUAUCGUAAGGAAGACCAGUGGCGAAGGCGGAUCUCUGGACAGUUACUGACACUGAGGCACGAAGGCCAGGGGAGCAAACGGG
rnacentral:rRNA from 1 species